CUUCAUGAUCGCUUCCGUCCGCUGUUACACACCUGUAAUCAUUCACCACGGGAUUAUGCCCAGGUAAUGCAGAGGAGACGUCAAGAAGAUGGAUUUUCUCAUCUUUAACAGUCGUCAGCGGUCUCCGUCGGAUGUUGCCCCUGCUCCUUGUGCGAACGAAACUCGGUGGAGUGAAUGGAUAAUGCGCUAGCAAAAUACUUCUGGCAAUUGAAAUGGACAAUCGCGACCGGCACCGAGACUCGUCAUCAACGUGGAUCAUUAUCGUAUUGUUGGUAUUAUUUCGUUUGUGUUAGUGUUAGUUAACCCGUUGGCUGCCACGCCUUUGUUCUUCCCUAGCUCCUUAGCACGGGCCGCGCUGUUCGGUCUCGUGGUUUUCAUACCGCAGGGUCGGAAAGUCGCACCAGCGGACCAGCCCAAAAUUUGCCGCAAGGCGCCUGUUAGGCAAUGCACCGUAGUUCCCCCUUGUCAGCAAUGGCAAGUCCCACUUGGUCAUGGAUCCUUCAGACAUGGGGCGUAGAAUAGUAGAGUACCCGUACAACCUACGGGUUGUAUGGCGUGGCAGCCAAUUGGUUAACUUAGUGUAUGUGUAUGUGUAUGUAGGUAUGUGACUAAAAUGUGGUGGAAUUGUGGGUGCAGGUGGGAAAAUAAAGCCAUUCCUUUUCUAA